AUGGCAGUGGCCCUGCUCGAUCGGCCGCUGGCUGCACGCUGGCUCAUCGCCAUGCAUGGACCAUGCGUUCCACGCCCCGGUCACGCCACCGGGUUGCUGCGUUCGCUCUCGCGGGUUGCUGUUGUGUGGAGGAGGAGGCCGUUUUUGGUUCCAGUUGCAAACGGAAAAAGGACGUGUUUGGAUCAUCGCCGCGUUUUUUUCCUCCCCUCCUCAGCCUCUAUCUUAGAGUCUAGACUCUCAUCAUUUUUGUUUCGGAGACGGAUUGCACUCCUACCAAUCCCCGCGUUCAUUGCAAAUGGAUACACACGCACGCAUGCAAAUCAGUUGUAUCGCUAA
rnacentral:rRNA from 1 species